rnacentral:rRNA from 1 species
UAAAACCCAAAGGAUUUGACGGUGUCCCACCCCGCUAGAGGAGCCUGUUCUAUAAUCGAUGAUCCCCGCUUCACCCAACCACCCCUCGCCAAUCAGUCUGUAUACCUCCGUCGAAAGCCUACCAUGUGAACGCCCACAGUAGGCCCAAGGACUCCCCGUCAAUACGUCAGGUCAAGGUGCAGCUCAAGGGCUGGUAAGUAAUGGGCUACAAUUUCUAACUUAGAACAAACGAAAGACUAUGUGAAACCCUAGUCAUGAAGGUGGAUUUAGUAGUAAAAAGAAAGUAGAGUGUUCUUUUUAACCCGGCUCUGGGACGCGUACACACCGCCCGUCACCCUCU